GUCUGCGCUCUGCAGUGCGGCCAAAAAUGGCCAUUGUUCGAGAAGGCUGAUUGGGUUUUCCUGGUUUUCCGAUUCCUGACGUUUUCCCUGAAUCUGGAAAAACCAAACCUUUGGCGCAAACAGGCUAAACCCAUAAUGUGGGUGAUAGAGACUCAACGAAGAAAGUUCAGAAGAUCUUGGUGCAAAGUCUGCAUGGUGGUUCCCUUAUUCUUCAACAACUUACGACAGUGUCAUUCAAGAAUAGCUCAGGGGCAGAUGCUGGCUUGUAGCAACUAGCAAGCAGAAAGCAGUGAUGGGUGCAACUGCUACAGCUUUCACUGUGGUUGUUAGUCUGCAACUGUCACCUCCAUCUGCUACUCUUAGUGUUGCUGUUACCGCUAAUUCCGCUGCUGUGGUGUCGAGAAAGGCACAUGACUGAAACCAUUUUGUGUGUUUAAAUUAAGUGGUGGAGUACAUUAGUGAAGCCAGAACAGAACCAGAGAUCACUGAUAUUCUAAUGUCAGUUUGAAAAGCUUAUUUUCUAGAAUAUUUGUUAUCUUACCUCAAUAACUGUGUGAGUAGAGAGAACGGAAAAGUUCUUCUUGUUCUAGAGGAAAAAAUGUGCUACUUAAGAGAGAAUAGGAGAAUUAAAUAACUAGAUGUUUUCAAUAAAAGUAAAAUUUGUUUGUUAGAAAAUUGAUUGGGGGCAAUGAAACAUAAAAAAACUAUAGCAUUGUUUAUGUACUUGUUGAUCGUAUGGGGGUUUUCGUAAAUGAAAAGGCUGAAAUGUUUAUUUUAAAAAAUUAUUGUUUAGCGGGUUCGGUUGGUUUUUUUCUCUUAUUUUGCUUAUUAAAUGAUGUAGCCUAAGUCUUGAUUACUGACUAAAUGAAAUAAACAUAAAUGAAUUGAGAA